rnacentral:sRNA from 1 species
UCACACUACUCAUAUAGCUAUUCUUGUAAACUACCUCUUACAGCAAUCUUGCAUUUUUGAUUGAUAUUUCACAGGUAAAUGGACUUGAUUACAUCCUUCUGGCAUUGGCAGACUCUUGACACUCAGUUGAUUUCAAUAGGUGCUUUUAAGGUCUCAACAAUAAGAUUAUGAAGGAUUUGAGGUGUACAAGGGAAACCGCAAUCUGCCAGUUGAUUGAUAUGAAAAAGGAGUCAAUUUUCUUGUGAAUCUGUGAGGAUUUCGGUGUGGAUAGAGCUUGCUUCCCCUCUUGAUGUUUGAACACCUCUAUACCGCCGCGACAACGUAUAUCAACUGAUUCCAUAUUUUUUAGUGGUCUCAGUGUAAUUAGGGACCAAUUGCGCGUUCAAAUCAUCAAUCGCGGCUUGUAUAACUGCUUCGUGGUGCAUUUUGUGGGUGGUUAAAAGAUGAAUUAAG